AUACGGAGGGUGCAAGCGUUGUUCGGAAUCAUUGGGCGUAAAGGGCGUGUAGGCGGUCAGAUAAGUCGGAUGUGAAAGCCCUGGGCUCAACCCAGGAAGUGCAUUCGAAACUGUCUGACUUGAGUACGGGAGAGGGAAGUGGAAUUCCUGGUGUAGGGGUGAAAUCCGUAGAUAUCAGGAGGAACACCGGUGGCGAAGGCGACUUCCUGGACCGAUACUGACGCUGAGACGCGAAAGCGUGGGGAGCAAACAGGAUUAGAUACCCCAGUAGUCC
rnacentral:rRNA from 1 species